AGUCGAGCGGUAAGGCCCUUCGGGGUACACGAGCGGCGAACGGGUGAGUAACACGUGGGUGAUCUGCCUCGCACUCUGGGAUAAGCCUGGGAAACUGGGUCUAAUACCGGAUAUGAGCAGCCUCUGCAUGGGGGUUGUUGGAAAGGUUUACUGGUGCGAGAUGGGCCCGCGGCCUAUCAGCUUGUUGGUGGGGUAAUGGCCUACCAAGGCGACGACGGGUAGCCGGCCUGAGAGGGCGACCGGCCACACUGGGACUGAGACACGGCCCAGACUCCUACGGGAGGCAGCAGUGGGGAAUAUUGCACAAUGGGCGAAAGCCUGAUGCAGCGACGCCGCGUGAGGGAUGACGGCCUUCGGGUUGUAAACCUCUUUCGAACAGGGACGAAGCGCAAGUGACGGUACCUGUAGAAGAAGCACCGGCCAACUACGUGCCAGCAGCCGCGGUAAUACGUAGGGUGCGAGCGUUGUCCGGAAUUACUGGGCGUAAAGAGCUUGUAGGCGGUCUGUCACGUCGAUUGUGAAAACUCGCGGCUCAACCGCGAGCCUGCAGUCGAUACGGGCAGACUAGAGUACUUCAGGGGAGACUGGAAUUCCUGGUGUAGCGGUGAAAUGCGCAGAUAUCAGGAGGAACACCGGUGGCGAAGGCGGGUCUCUGGGAAGUAACUGACGCUGAGAAGCGAAAGCGUGGGUAGCGAACAGGAUUAGAUACCCUGGUAGUCCACGCCGUAAACGGUGGGUACUAGGUGUGGGUUUCCUUCCACGGGAUCCGUGCCGUAGCUAACGCAUUAAGUACCCCGCCUGGGGAGUACGGCCGCAAGGCUAAAACUCAAAGGAAUUGACGGGGGCCCGCACAAGCGGCGGAGCAUGUGGAUUAAUUCGAUGCAACGCGAAGAACCUUACCUGGGUUUGACAUACACCGGAAAGCCAUAGAGAUAUGGCCCCCCUUGUGGUCGGUGUACAGGUGGUGCAUGGCUGUCGUCAGCUCGUGUCGUGAGAUGUUGGGUUAAGUCCCGCAACGAGCGCAACCCUUAUCUUAUGUUGCCAGCGCGUAAUGGCGGGGACUCGUGAGAGACUGCCGGGGUCAACUCGGAGGAAGGUGGGGACGACGUCAAGUCAUCAUGCCCCUUAUGUCCAGGGCUUCACACAUGCUACAAUGGCCGGUACAGAGGGCUGCGAUACCGUGAGGUGGAGCGAAUCCCUUAAAGCCGGUCUCAGUUCGGAUCGGGGUCUGCAACUCGACCCCGUGAAGUUGGAGUCGCUAGUAAUCGCAGAUCAGCAACGCUGCGGUGAAUACGUUCCCGGGCCUUGUACACACCGCCCGUCACGUCAUGAAAGUCGGUAACACCCGAAGCCAGUGGCCUAACCCUUGUGGAGG
rnacentral:rRNA from 1 species